CACGUAAGGGGCAAGCGUUGUUCGGAAUUAUUGGGCGUAAAGGGUGCGUAGGCGGUUACGCAAGCCCGGCGUGAAAUCCUGGAGCUUAACUCCAGAAUGGCGCCGGGAACUGCGUGACUUGAGUCAUGGAAGGGAAGUUAGAAUUCCAGGUGUAGGGGUGAAAUCUGUAGAUAUCUGGAAGAAUACCGGUGGCGAAGGCGAACUUCUGGCCAAUGACCGACGCUGAGGCACGAAAGUGCGGGGAGCAAACAGG
rnacentral:rRNA from 1 species